GAACAAACGGCAUGACCUUAAUCAGGGAGCCUGAACCACUCACUGAAGGGAAGUGUGAUGGCAGAUUAAAUCCCUGGCAGGAAACAGUGAUAAUGCCCACUGUAGAGCUGCGUGAGUUACAACAGCUAAGUUUCCCAUGUUGGUGCUUUUUCUUUCAAUUAUCUGAAAACACCCAGUUAAUUUUUAAUGUGUUUGUACCCUCAUUCUGUUGCCAAAACUGCUACCUUUCCCCUCCCUCCUUACUCAGAAAUAGAUUUCACUAAACCUGGCUGCUGUAAACUCAUUAUACAGUUCUAUCAUUUAUUCUGUCCAUUAGAGUAACCAGUGUUAGUGCUUUUCCCCCCA
ensembl:lncRNA